rnacentral:rRNA from 1 species
AUUGAACGCUGGCGGCAUGCCUUACACAUGCAAGUCGAACGGUAGCGCGGACCUCGGUCUGGCGGCGAGUGGCGAACGGGUGAGUAAUACAUCGGAACGUACCCGGUUGUGGGGGAUAACCAGUCGAAAGAUUAGCUAAUACCGCAUACGACCUGUUGGAGAAAGUGGGGGAUCGCAAGGCCUCACGCAGCAGGAUCGGUCGAUGUCUGAUUAGCUAGUUGGUGGGGUAAAGGCCCACCAAGGCGACGAUCAGUAGCUAGUCUGAGAGGAAGAUCAGCCACACUGGCACUGAGACACGGCCCAGACUCCUACGGGAGGCAACAGUGGGGAAUUUUGGACAAUGGGGGCAAGCCUGAUCCAGCAAUGCCGCGUGUGUGAAGAAGGCCUUCGGGUUGUAAAGCACUUUUGUCCGGAAGGAAGUCGCGCUGUUUAAUACCUGGCGUGGAUGACGGUACCGGAAGAAUAAGCACCGGCUAACUACGUG